UAGCCUGAGAGGAGACUGUAGAGUUUGAGGCUAGCCUUGCUCUGCUAUGUGCUAUGGCACAUAUUCCUUCUGAACUGCUCUGGGACUGCUGGAGAUAACUCUGAUGCCCAUCUGCCAGAUCCCUUUGAGAUCACUGUACACUGGAGGAGCUGGAUGAAGCGGAAAAUACCUGCAAAAAAAGGCAAGAAGAUGGAGAAGUUUGGGAGGAGACAGAAAUCCAACCGUUUCUUACUUGUAACUCCGGAUCUGAAGAAAGGCACGAUAGCAGAUAAGGUGCGCUGACAGACAGGAUGGCCUCGAUGGCAAAUUGCCCAUCAGGUUGUCUUGGCUAUUUCUCUGGACUAUCCCUGUAAGGCUGCUCUGCCCUGCUGCUCUCUGCCUCCAGCAGAAAGGGAAGAGGGAGCUGUGAGUUCCCGC